rnacentral:tRNA from 1 species
GGGGCAGUAGCUCACCGGUAGAGCCCCCGCUUCGUACGCGGGAAGACCUGGGUUCGAUUCGCGGCCGAUUUC